GACAGAGGGUGCAAACGUUGUUCGGAAUUACUGGGCGUAAAGCGCGUGUAGGCGGCUGUGCAAGUCGGAUGUGAAAUCCCGUGGCUCAACCACGGAAUUGCGCCCGAAACUGGCGGGCUUGAGUGCGGGAGAGGGAAGCGGAAUUCCUGGUGUAGAGGUGAAAUUCGUAGAUAUCAGGAGGAACACCGGUGGCGAAAGCGGCUUCCUGGCCCGACACUGACGCUCAUGUACGAAAGCGUGGGGAGCAAACAGG
rnacentral:rRNA from 1 species